CAAAUCAGGUAGGGCUACCCGCUGAACUUAAGCAUAUCAAUAAGCGGAGGAAAAGAAACUAAAUUAUAGACAAGGAUUCCCUUAGUAACGGCGAGCGAACCGGGAAGAGCUCAAAUUUGAAAUCUGGCGUCCUCAGGGCGUCCGAGUUGUAAUCUAUAGAGGCGUUUUCCGUGCCGGACCGUGUCCAAGUCCCUUGGAACAGGGUAUCAAAGAGGG
rnacentral:rRNA from 1 species